CCGAGUCUGACCUCUGGACGCACCGGGGUGGGUCUCUUGCUACAGAGCCGAGGGACACAGCUCUGACUCCUACUUUGAUUGCGAACCCGUGUCUUUGUCUCUGCAGGGUCAGCAGCUCCGAACUGCCCUCUCCACGCCGAGACCCUCGUCACAGCUACUUGCUCGUGCUUCUCAGGGACCGAGAUGCUGCCAGCAGGUGCAUGCUGUUUGCCUCCAGCCCCAGCCGUGCCCGCGGGGGCAGGUCCCCCUUGCUGUCCAGCCGCCCCGUCCCGGAGCCUGUUUCCGGCCUUUAGGAAGGAGACAACCCACUUCCGGUGAUUUGUGGAGGGUGCGUUCUCAGGUGGAGGGAGGGAGGGAAGCCCUCGGGGCCAGUGGAAUGAGUGGGAAGGGGUCCAGCUCCCAAGGGGAGGGGAACCCGGAGACAUGAGACUCAGAGGCACCGGGCCUCUGAGGCAGGGGGCUGCCCUCCUGUGCUGUGACGGAGUCAUCGCUGGUGCUGGCUCACGUGGCUGUUUGGGGGUGGAGGCUCCCGGCUGAGCCGGAGAGCCGCUCGGAGGCCCCACAUCCCAGCAGCCGGGGAGCCACUCGGUCAGCACCUGCUCCUCCGGGAACACUGGCCGGGACACGCCCGCUUCCCCAGCCGAGUGUUUUACGAAAGGUGGACAGCGUGGCCGGAUGCGGAGUGAUUGUGAGCCGGGCACGAAGGCCCAGGAGGGUCUGCGUGUGAGGACAGACUGUGCGGGCACACGGGGUCACCACGGCCAUCCCAACACCGAUGGCCCUGCCCGUCUCCAGUAGGUCAGGACCCAAGAAGAACUGCAAAGGAGUAGUUAAGUCAUGGUCAUGUUUGUGAAGGUAGUUAUGGGCAGACGUAGGCGAUGGGAGUCGCAUCUGCAGGAGGCUUUGGCCCGUGGCUCACGCCCUUGUGUCUGACCGGGACUGUGGAGAGGGGGACUCGGGGUCAGUGGUCCUGCUGGCUGUGGGCCCGGCUCCCUUCUCUGAACAUCAUGAUCAUUGUUGGCACUUGAUCCACGGUCAGCAGAGAGCAGAGAGUCGGGACGGGGUUCCUCGGGGGCGAACCAACAAAUAUCCCCUCAAAGUUUAAACCCGGUUCUCCAGGAUUGAAGGAAGGACGGCGAAUGUUUCUGUGUACGUGACAUAGUCUAUCUGGAAGACAUACAAAGAGGUCAAAAGCACCUCAUUAAAAAUAUAUUGUCAGAAGAAAAGAGCCAAUUAUGGUGCACAUGAUAUGAGUGAUCAAUAUAAUUAAGAAAUGAAUUCUCAAUAAAAAGACUGACGGAGGCUGUAUUUGGGCAGAAUUGAUAUCGUACGGACUAAUUAAAUAUUUAUCGAGUGUCAGCGCAGUGCGGUGCUGGAUGCUACAGGGACACAGAAUAUAUUUCUGUUUCUAAGGAAUGCUCGUGCGACACAGUCAUGCAUAAUGGAAGCAGGACGUGGUCAGUGUCACCGAGUGGGCGGGACGGUGAGGCUUCCCAGCGUGCCGCUUUUUCUGCACCCACUGUUCAAGCUGAAAUCGACAAAAUUCGGUUCAUUAAAAUCUCAGGGGAGCCUGGGAGGCUCAGUUGCUUAAGCAUCAACUCACGUUUCAGGCUUGGGUUAUGAUCUUGUGGUUUCGUGAGUUCGAGCCCUCCCUCAGACUCUUCUGACAGCACGGAGCCUGCUGGGGAUUCUCUCUGUCUGUCUGUCUGUCUGUCUCUCUUUCCUCCUCCCGUGCUCAUUCUCCCCCCCGCCCCACGUCUCCCCCACUGUCUCUGUUUCUCUCAAAAUAAAUAAAUAAACUUAAAAAAUAUCAGUCAUAUUAUAUUAUAGCUUAACUUCUUUGGUCAAAACUAUAGAUUCUGUGCUCUUUGGGAGCAAUGCUGGCUGGGGUGACCAAACACACAUUCGCCGUCUUGGUCUGAAAACGGAAACGGAACGAAGCAGUGAAUUAGAUUUUUGGAAAACACACAAAACUGUUUCAGUAACAGGGAGUGUGAUGCAAAGCUUGUGUCCUGGGUUAGUCGGGGCACCUGCUGUCGGCAGCUGUCUCGGUGGCGAGGCUCUGUCGGGUGAGAUCCUCACCGUCCUCCCCGGCCGGUGCAGGUGCAGGCGCUGGGCCCCUCCAUCUGGGGGCCUCAUCUCCAAUUCGGGGGGUCAGAGCCCUGCCGGGUCCUUUCCGUGGGGCCCGUGGCGAACACAAGAGUGUGAGGUUCACACAGACUCUUUGCAUCAACUCGUCCACGCUCCAUGAGCGAAACCCAGUUCACACGGUUCUGGCGAGAGGCUGUGUCCCAGAAGGAGGGAAACGGAUUGGUAAGACUGAUGCGGAUUCAUGUUGGUCUUGGUUGUAGAGGCCGCCUAGUGCUGGUGUGAACGUUUUCCUAGAGGGAGGAUACGGCACUUGUGAGAAUCAGUCAUGGGCAGAGCGGCUGUGUGGGCCGUGUUCCCUCUGUAGUAUUCCUUCCACGGCCACAGUCCCCCACUCAGCAUAACCGGGAUCCAGCGGCUGCUUCGGACCAGAAUGAUGUGAUGAGGGGGCCGUAGAGACGGCUGUUAGUGAACCGUGGCCAGGGGCACAGCGCACCGUGGGACAGACCCUUCUGGGAGCAGGAGAGGUCUGCCUUCUGUGAGCGGACGCCCGCAGCCCCAAGCCGAGUCACAGAGCUCCCGUUGGCUCUGAAGAAGUGUGUGGUUGCAGGAGGGGAAGGGCUCGUGGCUCCGACGGGAGGAGCUGUCUGACCGCCACCUGCUCCGUUAACUGCGGGCGCGUCUUGCCGGAUGGCUCAGUGUCUGGGUCUCAGGACCAGAGGCUUUACGGAUGCUUAGAGGACAACCACAGGAGUCUGAUUCCAAAUCUGGAACGAGUUUGGGUGGCACAAGGCUGCAUGGAGAGGUCGCCAGGCUUCGGCGUGGGGGCCACGGCGGGCCGACCCCCGGGCAGAACGUGGACUCCAGACCCAGGCUGCUGGGGUUCCGGUCGGCCUCUGCGGGUCUGUGCUCACGUGACCCCCUCGCGAUGCCGAGGCUUCGUGUGAGGAGGUCCGGUGUCGAUCCCCAGGGUUGCUCUGACAGUCAGCGGAGGCGUAUGUGCAGGUGACCCGCAGGUAGGUGUGCGCUCUCUCCAUGGUCGUUACUAUGAGCCCAGUGGAUUCAUUUGUUCCCCGACUCGCUGAGAAAUUCACGGGCUCCCCAGAUUCACAUAAUGGGGCUACCAGCAAGCCGAGAUGAACCAGGAGAGGAGCCAGGCAGGACCGCGGUGAGUCUUUUCUCUUUCGUAUCUGCACUGCCGGCCUCCCAGGGCCUGCGUGGGCCUGCCCUGCACGCGGGUCUCCGUGCUCGCAGGUCUGCCGUGCACACGGGUCUGCCCCGCACACGGGUCUGGCUGUGCGCACGGGCCUCCCGUGCCCCGUGGCCUCCUGCGGUGGUUUGCUCGUGCUGGGUCUUGAUUUCUGAGGCUUGUCUGGGUGCGAUGCUUUGUGUUCAGGAGCGUGUGGGUGUGGUGCAAUCCUCCCGCCUCCCGAAACAGAAUGCACGCACACGCACACACUCAGGCACACGCACACACAGAACCCCCCACGGACACACACUCCAGAGACACGUGUGCACACACCCACACCGUCCCUCUCUCUCUCGGGUCAUUUUUACUAUUUCUCUCUUAAAGAGAACAGCUCUGCAGUGAAGACGGGACUUGGCUGGACCCUGCCUUCCACGUGUCCUGCACACAAUUUGCCGUGUGUCUCUCAAGGCCCGUGGCUUGGCUGGCCCUGCGUGCGAGCACGGCUGGUCGUGGGCUCAGGUGGCCCCGCGGGUGGCCGUGGUGGGAGGAGGAGGAGCACCGUGAGGUGUGGGUCGGGGGCAGAGGACGCCGUGUGCUGAGACGCCGGGAGCAGGGCAAAGCCAGAAGCAGUGUCAGAAUCGGUGAGGGUUUCGUGCCGGGAGUCACUUGCAGGCCUGAGGACCACCCCCCAGCUCGACUGAGACCCCAUCCCUCUGCGGACGUGGCCCGAGGGAGCCUGGGGUAGAUAAUCAAACACCCCUAUGUUAGCAUUCUGGUGCAAGACUUGGACUGUCCAGCAGACAGAAGACAAGCUCGACCUUCCGGAAGCCGGGCGAGGCGCGUCAGGCGGAUGGGAGACUGGACAGAGCCCAGUGUCCGGCUGAGCUCUGGAGGAAGACGGACCAUGACCAGCUGGUUCAGAUCCGGGGUCCCCCACACCCCAGCACCCAGCAGCCAGGGACCCGGGUCGGAGGUCGGCUGUGUGCUCCUGUCCCGGGCCGUGCAGAGGGCUCACGCGGGCCCCGGGCGGACGUGAAUUCCCACCCGCCUACUGCCCCAGGACCCCAACUUUUCCCCUUCCCGAGAAAAAAGUGUUAUUAUUAUAUUUUUAAUUCCCUGAUGUGCGACCCAGCAGCCAGUAUCGUCUUACAGAGGAUGAAUAGAAGGGUGGGGGGCAGGCUGUGUGGCCGGGUUUCAAUAUCCCCCCUGCGAGCCAUUACGUCAUCCGGCUACUCUCUAAGAGGAUUUUCAGCAGGCUUGGCUUCGUUAUUAAAAUAGUAAUUAAUUUUUUCCUCUUCACAAAACCCAGGGACCUUCAGACGGAGGCCUCGGGAGCGAGGGCAAUCUCCUUUUGAAAGUGGCCUUUCUGGAAACGGUAAUCGGCUCUCCAGCCCCACGGUACACAUGUUCCCCAGUAAAUGUGAUUAAAGACCCGCACAAAACCCCCUUGCAGAAAAUUAAUUCAGUUUCCAGAAUAAAAAGUUUGAUAAAGUUGUGCAAUGCUCCAGUGACAGCACACAAUGGAAGGGUGAGUUUUAUCCCCUUGAAGGAUAAGUGAGCGGCCAGAAAGGUCUGGUAGUUCCCAGAGUAAAAACAUCUGCUACAGCGAACUCACUUUAGCUUUUGAUUGUGAGAUUCAUUAGUCAUAUGGGACAGUGGUGGUUCCCAACGUGCUGCGGGAAGGGCUGCCCCACGGGCUGGGGUGCCCGGUGCUCCCGGCCCCGCGUCAGGGCCCGCCCGCUCCAAGCUGGUGACCCGUGGGCACUGGAGUCGACCCGAAUUUCCCUUCCAAGGGGGCUGCGCGGGGCAGGGGUGAGGACCGGUGAAGCCCCGUCUGCUACUUACUAGCUACUUGAUUUCUCUAAAUCUUCCUUUUCUGCUCUGCAAAAUGAGAGUAAUUGUGUCUCCUUUUGGGUUAUCAUGAGGAUUAGAUGAAAUAAAAAUCGAAAGCAUUUAGCCCUGUUCCCAGA